UACGAAGGGGGCGAGCGUUGUUCGGAUUUACUGGGCGUAAAGGGCGCGUAGGCGGCGGACCAAGUCGAGUGUGAAAGCCCCGGGCUCAACCUGGGAGGUGCGCUCGAGACUGGUUUGCUAGAGUUCGGGAGAGGAGCGUGGAAUUCCCAGUGUAGAGGUGAAAUUCGUAGAUAUUGGGAAGAACACCGGUCGCGAAGGCGGCGCUCUGGACCGAGACUGACGCUGAGGCGCGAAGGCGUGGGAGCAAACAGG
rnacentral:rRNA from 1 species